rnacentral:lncRNA from 1 species
UAGACAUUAGGCCCCUGCCACCUUUACAGAAAUUAAGCCAUCAAAUAUCCCUUUGUUUGUGCUAGAAUCAAUAUUUGAAAAAGCAAAAAGGUUGGACAGAUGAAUCCCAAUUUGGAGAGUUUUUUUUCCCUGAUAACCGAGAAAUAUGCCCGGGCAACCCUUAGGACCAACCGCAAGACGCUCCUAACCUUCUACGCUUAAACACCAAGCUUAGUUCACAUGGCACAGGGCUCGAACCAGUAACCUAAGUCACUAGUUCCUCGACAUUUUCCACUUGGACUAAUCCCUGAGGUUUGCAAUAUUAUAAAAACUGAGAACUGAAAAACCUAACAAAACUUUUCAAAAUUAAGGCCGAAUUGACGGAUGUCCAAUCCUACUGCUAAUGGGCUUUAGGUCAACAUGAAAUAGGAUCAGUGUUGUAUUUAGAAAAGCAGAGAAUCUCAACAUGUAUUGGCUACACAAUUUUCGCAUGGCUGAUUCAUAGUAUGUCCGUAUUUAGAAAAUCAGAGAAUCUCAACAUGUAUUGGCUACACAAUUUUCGCAUGGCUGAUUCAAAGUAUGUCUUUAUGGUUUUGCUUCAUGACAGCUGAAAUUAUGGGCUCAGAGAUGGAAAUAGUU